UUUGACAAAGAAUUGCUGAACUGCUGAAAAUUGCCUUUGGACAAGACAAGGAUGGAGAAUGCAGCGCAGACUGUGUGCAGCAUGUACAGACAGAGGAGACCGGUUUCCAGAGAAUAUCGUCCUUGAAGAACAGAAGCCAAGACACUGAAAGGAGAGAAGGACUUAGAAGUAAAAGCAAAGGGCUGUAGAUGAGCAGAAGGAAGUUCUACCAUUUCUACCAGAGUACCUACUUGUUAUUCUUCCUGUGCCAAUUCAUUGAACAUUCCUGCUUCAGUUCAUCUACCAGUAAUAGUUACCUGCUUCACAAAACAUUGUGAACUUUAU